rnacentral:rRNA from 1 species
UACGUAGGGUGCAAGCGUUGUCCGGAAUUAUUGGGCGUAAAGAGCUCGUAGGCGGUCUGUCGCGUCGGCUGUGAAAUCCCGAGGCUCAACCUCGGGUCUGCAGUCGAUACGGGCAAACUGGAGUGUUGCAGGGGAGACUGGAAUUCCUGGUGUAGCGGUGAAAUGCGCAGAUAUCAGGAGGAACACCGGUGGCGAAGGCGGGCCUCUGGGCAACAACUGACGCUGAGGAGCGAAAGCGUGGGGAGCGAACAGG